GAGAUGGAGGCAUAUCUCUGUUGCCAAGGGCGACAUCAUAUAUAUGUACAGCUGAUGAUUCUGUCGGGACCAGAUGCGAAGUAAACCUGACAUAAGUCAUAUGCCACUGAGGGAGCCCACCUAACCACCUACUGUUCCAAAUCUUAAACCAGCGUUGUUUGACAAAUGGGUUGUGCCUUGUGUCCUACAACGUAAUAGAUCACAUAUUGGCAGAUAGAUCAGUUUAAGCCAUGGCGAGCAAGGAGGAGAGUGAUGCAGGAGUUCCCAUGACAGAGGUGCAUUGUCAAUGAGGAGACAGAAGUGAGCCCACACCACAGAGAGAAUCAUGGAGCAGACAUCUGGACUACAUGCUGACAGUUGUUGGCUACUGUGUUGCAUUAGGCAACAUACUGAGAUUUCCCUAUAUCUGCAACAGAAACGGUGGAGGAGCUUUCCUCAUCCCCUUCAUCUUGCUCC